CCUACGGGUCGCAGCAGUGAGGAAUAUUGGUCAAUGGACGAGAGUCUGAACCAGCCAAGUAGCGUGAAGGAUGACUGCCCUAUGGGUUGUAAACUUCUUUUAUAUGGGAAUAAACUGUUCCACGUGUGGGAUUUUGUAUGUACCAUAUGCAUAAGGAUCGGCUAAACUCGUGCCAGCAGCCGAGGUAAUACGGAGGAUCCGAGCGUUAUCCGGAUUUAUUGGGUUUAAAGGGAGCGUAGGUGGAUUGUUAAGUCAGUUGUGAUAGUUUGCGGCUCAACCGUAAAAUUGCAGUUGAAACUGGCAGGCUUGAGUACAGUAGAGGUGGGCGGAAUUCGAGGUGUAGCGGUGAAAUGCGUAGAGAUCACGAAGAACUCCGAUUGCGAAGGCAGCUCACUGGACUGCAACUGACACUGAGGCGCGAAAGUGUGGGUAGCAAACAGGAUUAGAUACCCGUGUAGUC
rnacentral:rRNA from 1 species